rnacentral:rRNA from 1 species
UACAGAGGUGGCAAGCGUUGUUCGGAAUUACUGGGCGUAAAGGGCGCGUAGGCGGUCCCGUCAGUCCCUUGUGAAAUCCCCCGGCUUAACCUGGGAACUGCGUCUGAUACUGGGAGGCUAGAGUAUGGGAGAGGGAUGUAGAAUUCCAGGUGUAGCGGUGAAAUGCGUAGAUAUCUGGAGGAAUACCGGUGGCGAAGGCGGCAUCCUGGACCAUUACUGACGCUGAGGCGCGAAAGCUAGGGGAGCAAACGGG